rnacentral:rRNA from 1 species
AACGAACGCUGGCGGCAUGCCUAACACAUGCAAGUCGAACGAGACCUUCGUGUUUAGUGGCGCGCGGGUGCGAAACGCGUGGUAACCUGCCAUUAGGUUGUGAAUCGCGCCCCGCAAGGGGUGCUAAUACCGGUAACUGUCAUCGGUCCAAAGUUUUAUCGCCUAUGGAUGGGCCCGCGUUGGAUUAGCUAGUUGGUAGGGUAAAAGCCUACCAAGGCGACGAUCCAUAGCUGGUCUGAGAGGAUGAUCAGCCACACUGGGACUGAGACACGGCCCAGACUCCUACGGGAGGCAGCAGUGGGGAAUAUUGGACAAUGGGCGAAAGCCUGAUCCAGCGAUGCCGCGUGAGUGAAGAAGGACUUAGGGAUGUAAAGCUCUUUUAGCCGGGAUGAUAAUGACAGUACCGGGAGAAUAAGCUCCGGCUAACUCCGUG